UUGUGACAACCUCUGCUUUCAACAGUAUCGCCGCCAGAAUCACCACCGUCACCCUACAGCAACAACGUCGCGGGACAAAACCGCCAUAGCAAGCACAACACCACCGACCAUCCCUCACUAUUGCAACCCCCAUAUAGCGUCACCCAUGCCAUCCCACAUACAAACCACCAUCCACAACCACCAUCGUCCUCCUCCAGCCCAAUGCUAGAACCAAAUCCUGAACUCAUCCAACAUCACCAACAACUCAACAUCACAGCCAUCACCAUCGCUGGAACACUACAACUGUCAAAGGAAAGCACAAUCUCACCACUUUCUCGGUUAGCACCGUCACAGUCGCCAACCAGCAACGAUCACCGGAGGCUAGAGUAGGAAUCCCCUUUUUUGAGCAGCCACAAAGAGUGAGAGGGAGAAGACGGGUGGGGAGAACGAGUGGAAAGAAAAUAUGAGUGGGAGGAGAGAAGAAAGGUUGGGGGGAGAGAGAGAGAGAGAAAUUAAGAUAGAGUAAAUACGAGUGUGAAAGAGAGAGAAUAGGGUGGGAGGAGAGAGAAGGGAUUGGAGAGAGAAAGAGAUUGGAGAGAUAAUAAAUAAUAUUUAAACAUGUGAAAUCUGAUUUUUGAAAUAUUAAAUUACCCAUAUAAUUUUUGAACCCUAGAUUUUAAUUCUAGGGAUAUGUGUAAUUUCCACAAAAAACAUUAGGACUAGAUAGCCGUCCAAAUCCACAAAAAAAACUUGGCCCAGCCUAAUAAAUGACGAGUCAUUUUCACAUAACACUAUAAUCAAGAAGUAGAAGUUUAUUAUUGACCUUGCAUUGAUUUUAAAAGUGACAAUUUUACCUUCGACCUCAAAGAAUCCAAUGUUAUAUUUCUUUGUUGCUAGCUCAUUGAUUAUUCAAACAAUGAAUUUCAUCAUGUUAUGGGUAUCAAGUGGAUUGAAUCAUCGUCCCAUUUUAGUUGAGUUGCAAAAUUUAGUCUGAAAUAUUUUAUUUGAUUUAGAGUUGGAAAGGAGGAAGAUUGCACGCCGCUCCUUUACUAGAUUGGCUAACCCAAAAGAUUUUCUUUUUUUUUUCUUUUUUUUUCUAUUUUUUUUAAAGAUAGGAAGCCCGCUAAGUAAACCGGCCAUCUUAUAUAGGGGGUGUUUAAUAGACAUUUUUAUGUAAAAAUGUAUUUUAGAAUAGUAAAUUGAUGUGAAAUGUGUUGUUGAAAAAUAAAGAAAUUUUUUAAUUUACGUGUUAUAUUAUUUUAAUAAGUAUAUGUGGUUGAAAAGAAGAGAUAAAAAAAUACAUUUAAAAAAAAUGAUUACCAAAUGGGGCCAUAAUAUAAGCCAUGAAAUGGGUUCUGGGCCUCUCCUUUACUAUCAGCGGCCUAAGUUCUCCAAGUUUCGAUCACUAGCACUUAGUUCCCCUUGACUAUGCAAUUAACUCAGUUUGAUAAGCCUACGUCUUAUAGACCUAGGACCACCAUAAGCAAGCCUUUCAAAACUUUGAUCAAGAUAGGGAGUUUGCCCUAGAAGAUAGUGGUACAACUUUCGAAAUCUGUAGCUUCUAUGGUAACUAGUUCCUUCAUGUUGGCUGGCGUCGAUUCAACUUAUCCCAACAAAGGGCCAAUUAGUGGGGUGAGUUGAUACAUAAUUUUUGAAAGAAAUUAGCUCGCACUUGUCUCAUCCUCAUAUGUGAAUGGGAACAGCCUCGUUGAUCAAUUGAGGCCUCAAUAGUGAGCAAGUCAAAUGACUCGACUCAACCCAUUUAACACCAUGGAGAAAUGUACUUGAACAUAAUUUUAUGUACAUAAAGGUGUUCAAACAGAGCCCCAAGCACAACCCUAACACCUUUUUAUCUUGAGCUUUCCCUAGUUUUCCUCCCUUUCAUUACAAAUUCGAAUUUCUCGCAUUUUAGGAACCUUAAAUAACUCAACGGACCACGGUCUUAUACGAAUCCCCUUAAUCCAACCCUUCAUUUCGUCUAUCUACACCUCCAAACUAGGGGUGUAAACGGUCCGAUUUUACCGAUUUUUGACAAAUUUUCAAAUCAAACCGUUUAAACCGGUUUGAGAAAAACUCAAACAUAAACCAAACCAUUUUGAACGGUUUGAAAAAAACUCGAACCUAAACCUAACGGUUUGGUCCGGUUUAAAACCGUCGAUUUCGUCUUAUAUUUUUUUAUCAGUCUACUUUUAUGACAUUAAUUUAUUGAAUUCAAUAUAUAUUUAUAUCUUACUAGUAAUAAUUCUAAAACAAUCUAAGCCCUUGUUUCAACCAAAUUUUUGGGACAUAAAAAUGAAAAUUUGGACCAUUAUCACACAAGUCCAACCGCAUUUGUUGACCUAUUGUUUCGUGCGUGGGACCCAGCUUCCUUUCCAAUGGUCAAUUUUCUCAUUAUGAUAACAUGGAAAAUAUAGCUCGAGCAAUGGCUAAAUAUAUCUACUAUAACUUUAAAUAUCUACUAAAUCAAAAUGAAAUCACAAUAAACUAAAACUUAGUUUUUUUUUUCACCUUUUUUAGGCUAAUGCUGUUAUGAUAACGUUACAAUACAAGUCUACUAAACGAGAUAUAAGGCAAAAAAAAUAAAUCAAUCCAACAAGACCUCGUGAACAUCAUAUUUGAAAAAAAGUUAUUGAUUAGACAAAGAGAAUAACCAACCACAAUAAUAAAGAAGUUAUUUAUAAUAUCUAAACAUAACAAUUACAUAAGCUUACGUUUGUAUGUUGUUACGAAACACAUUUAAUUUCAGAUUCUUACCCAAUUUUCUCAAAAAAAUUAGGCCCUGUUCUCUUUAUCGUUUUCGGGCCGUUUUCUAUUUUCGAUUUUUCAAAACGGUGAAAACGUGUUCUCUUUCCCGUUUUCGAAAACGAAUUUUUGAAAACGAAAAAAAAAUUGUGAAGAAAACACAAAACGACUUUUUUGCCGUUUUGGGGCGUUUUUAGUGUAAAACUUGAAAAAAUUGAAAACGCGGGAAACACCAUUUUUUUUUUUCGGAGGUGGUAUGGUGAUUCUCAAAAUUUCAAAAAAAAAAAUUAAAAAUUAUUAUAUAUAUAUAUUUUAGGUGAUCUUGUGGUGAUUCUCAAAAUUUAAAAAAAAAAAAAAUUUCAUUUUUUUUGUUUUGAGAAACAAAUAAAAAGAACGCAUUUUCAACAAUUUCAAACCAAACACUCAAAAAACAAAAUUCAAAAUGAAUUUAAAACUCAAAACACAAAACUGAAACACAAAGAGAACACCCUCUAAGAAUCCCAUACAUCAUGCUUAGCUCAAGGUUCAUAGCAUUCUUGUAUGUAUUACAGCAAUAAUUUGAAAUGCAGAAAAGCAAUAAAAGGUAUACCUGGCAUGGGAAAUAUUCGUAUUUGGAAUUAUUGCUAAUUACGUGCUCGUUAAUAAGUUGUCUUCAAAAGGUUACCUAUACUAUUGCUGCCAUUGAUUCUAAUAUUUAUACACAAAGCACAAGCAUGAAUACGAGCCGAGAUCACAUCAUUUUAUCUUAUCAUUCAGUUAUUGCUUCCUCUUGCGAAACAUGUCUAUCUGCAAUGAAAAAGGCUGGUUUCCUUAGGAAUUGAAUCUUCGACUAUAAGCAGUCUUAUCCUCAACAUGUCAUAAGGGUAUGGGCAGGCAGGCACACAUAUUGAAAUAGCAGAGUAUUCUCUUGUGUGUGUGUUUCCUCAUUUAUUAUCCAUAUCCUGAUCAAGACUGACGUGCCCGGGUCUCAUCAUCACAGAAACUAGGUAGGUAGUCUUCAAUUGUGGGGCCCUUUAAAUCACUUUUCGGCAACCCUUGGCAACCUUUUGGAGGUCAAUUAUCCAUUCAGGAUCUGUGUGACCAUAACUUUCAGUUUUUCUUGAGAAUUUUAUAUUAUUCUGUACAUGUUAUCCCCAUCUGUCUCAUAAAUACUAAUUAGUAAAUUCGUUUGAUAAGAUUGCUUAACGCUUAUUCAUUUUCGUCUAUGUUGUUUUCGAGAAACAUAGAUUUUUGUUUCUUACUCCAAAAUUAUGUCAAACUACACUUUGGUUUCUAUUUCAUGGAGCUUUCUAUCAUUGCUAAAAGUACUUGUUAGAAAAUCUAUGCUUGGACAUUGGCAUGGCACAUGGGCUUGUUUUAUUUAGACGCUAUAUGGCAUAUGUUUAUAACGAACACAACGCCAAGAAAUGCUACUAAACGGUAUAUUAGGUAGGAGCAUUGGAAUAGUCACUUCCAUAUCCAAGCGUCGAGUACUAUAUAGUCCUUCUUAUUGAGCGAACUACUAAUGUACAGCUAGUAGCUGUAAGUUAUAACAUUCGUCUUUUUUUCAUUGAUAUGUAGUACAAUACUUCCAGAUAGUGGACUACAUUAAAGAAGAAAAAGAAACUAAAAUACUGUUUAUUGCCAUCUAAUCUUAUUCACUAGUACUUAUCCGAGUCAUUUUGAAUAUUUCAUUUUACCUUUUCAGGUUGCAGAGUACGGAAGUUAUAAACCAGAAAGCGAUGAAGACUAUGAUGACAUGUAUUGGAGACGGACGGAAUAUGUUGAAGGUGAAGACGGGGAACUAUCUUGGUUUAAUGCCGGUGUUCGAGUGGGUGUUGGAAUAGGCCUUGGCAUUUGCUUGGGGGUCGGAAUUGGAGUUGGUUUGUUGGUCCGUACUUAUCGAACAACAACCCAAAACUUUAAAAGGCGGCUUGCAUAGUUGCUCAUAUUAUCAUAAUGCCUCGUCUCACUUUACCGGCUAACACAAUCAUUAGUAUGUCCAUUUUGGAUGCAAAUUUUCUUAGUGUUAAUUUUGGAAAAAUGGGAAAGUCAAAAGAUAGAAGUCUCUACUCGAUCGAUGUACUGGACCGUCUUGGACUCUCGGGUUGAUUUUCUUUAUUUUCGAAAGAAUUCUCGUGCUGUUAAUUGUUUUGAAGAGAAUGUUGGUAUAUAUAUCGGGGCAUAAAUGAAGAAAGUUUGAUUUAUCGCACUGUAGAUGUGUUUCUUUCUUUGAGCAUAGCGAUUUUUAUGCUUUAUUACAUUGUUUGCAGUGAUUUGUUCUAGUUGUGAGCAGGCGAAAAGUUACAAGGUGAAGCGUCGAAAGUUGAAUCGAUGGUAAAAAAUAAAUAAUGCUGGUAAAAUAUUUACAAACGCAAGUUAAAUUUCAUUUAUAUAGUAACAAAAAUCACACAAGGUUAAAAAAAUUUCUUUUUGCUAGUUGAACAAGCCAAAUUGAACCCCUACUUGCUUCUACCUUUCUCGUAUUUAAUUUCUAAAAACAGAUAAAAGUAUUAAGUUGAUGCUGGCAUCAAUAUUACAUAAUCUUUAUCAAAACUAGAGUUACCAAUGGCGCAAAGAAUAUUUAAUUUGAGGAGAAUGUUAACAUCGACAUAUACAAGAUAACCAUUGGAAUUGGCCAUGUUGACUUGAAGAAAUCAGGUUUGUGUUAUGAGUAAUACUAAAAAACCUAAUUUUAAUCCCCACCAAAUACAAUUUGAACAUUCAUAAUUGAAAAUUUUACCCGAGCAGGAUGUUUGUUGGCUGUCAGACGUAAGAUGAACUUCAAUUGAUCAUUGUGAACAGUCAUGCAGAUAUUGGUGCAGAAGUUCAAUAAAAAGGCUUGGGUGUCGAACCAGACCUUGACAUCUCGAUGAACUAUGCAUCCUCCUGGAAUGUAUGGAGAAACCAGAGUCCUCGAGCACUGCCAAUCGCUAUCUGAAGCCUUUGAAUCCAGGACAGGACUUUAUCGUUCCCUGAUAAACAUUAAAUUUAUCAGCAUAAGGAAAAAGCUAGUUCGGACAGCAGACAUCUUAGGCAGAUGUAGUCUUUACCAUAAAGCCACUCAGACAGGUUUCCGUUGGGACAAAGUUCAUAAAUUAGGAAGCAUUCGCCUUCAGAUUCACAAUAACCCAACAAAGCUACCAGGUUCGGGUGUCUGAUGUGCGCUAGGCUUCCAACUUCCCUCACGAAAGUCUCAGCGCCUCCAUCUUUUGUAAUGUGCUUUAUUGCCACUUGCUGAUUCCCGGAAAAAAGGCCUUUGUACACAUUUCCUAAAUCCAAUAAGACAAUACAAUAAAGUGAAGGGAUACAAUUAUUAGUAUAUCAUUACACAGAUCAAUUCAGUAUCAUUGUUAUUCCUAGGUUUUUCUUAAAAAACUUGUGAGUUUGUCUAGAGAAGCUUUAAUACCUGAUGUUCCUUGGCCGAUGAAGUUUGAUUCAUGUAGAUUGUUCGUGGCAGCAUAUACCUUCUCGACCGGGACUUUAAGAAUAGCAGGCUCCUUUGACAAUGCCGAUAGUGCAGAUUUCCAUGCUGGAAAAUUUUACAGCUAUGUAAAAUGAAUAAGAAACAUUCUUGCAUGAUCUAUCAAUUAUAAAAUUAAAACCUACCUUCUUUAUUAACCGGUGAGAUUAGCUUAUGCCGCCUUCGUGAUAAGAUCCAUGCUGAAGAAAGUAGUACCACAAAAAACCCGAAAAUGCCUCCAAUUAAUACGAAUAAGCCUGCUCUACAAGAAUGUUCAUAGAGUUAGCGAAAACCCAAGUAAGUACCUAAAACAUCUGCUUCUGUACCUUUCAUUUCAAUCGAGCAAUCUUCCUCCUCAGUUGAAUUCAAGAAAAAUUUUCCGGUUACAAUUGCACGUAGCCUUAAUGCAUAAAAUAAGUCACAAACCGCUUCUUCCCCACAAAACGAGUUAUCUAAAUUAAGACUGCAGUUUAUAGAAGAAGAAGAAGAAGAAGAAGAAGAUAGAGAGAAUGAAUUUCUUUUCUAGGCCACUUACGAAUAAGUAACAAAAUUUGAUCCAUAAUUGUUAAUUCUUCAUAGAGAAAGGAAGGAAAAAGGACUCACUACACUUUCACUAGAAGAGAAUGACAAUUGCUUUUAUAUAUGAUGGAAAUGGAAGUUAUUACAUAAAAGGAAGAUUCUUUUAUUCUCAACUGAAAUCUUGAAGUCAACGACGUUGGAACAGGUUUAUUCUCAGUACAUUAUUUUUAUCUUGUCCCUAGCCGGUAGACAAUUUUUGACAGCUGCAAGUUACUGCCAAAACCUGCCUGCAUUUUUCAUGGCUCGUCUCAAGCAUGGAUAAAGAAAUUAAUUUAAACUUUGUCCAAUCUCAUGACAUGAAACAUUUUCCGCUGCUUCCAAUCUAAUUGCUAGUCUAUUUAUAAGUAUUUUCUUUUAAAUGUAAUUUAUUAUAAGUUAAAAACUAUUUUUUAUUUUUUCUUAAUAUUAAGUUACAUUUGGUGGGUACUUACUAUUGCUUUGCGAUUUUACAAAUUAUCAAGAACAAAUCUAACAAUCAGGAAAACAACACCACAUAAAUGCACAAUAAACUUAUUAAUCCAUUGUUAAUAUAUAAUUUUAGCCCAUGUUCGGUACAGAUUCUUCAAAACUCAUUUUUUUCAAACUAGUUUUCAACCACACUCCUCCCAAUAAAAAAGAAGCCUACGGCUGAAGACUCGAACAUCGAUUUGUAAAGGUGGUGAUAAAUUAUUACACAGUCAACAAAAUAGAAUACAGGUUCAAAUCUUAGCACAGGGGUUGCUGUCGCCAUUAGGCAGCAUGUUGAUGCCUUGUGUCUUUCCAUCAAUGAUUAUUGGAUUGUGAUGCCAUUAAGGUGGUCCAGUCCUUGGGAGACGAUGAAAUGGGCCAAGCCAAUUGUCGGAAGAAUUUUCCAUUGCUUGACAACACAUCCAAGAUGGACCUAAACCCAAUCCAAGUUAGUGGACACGUGUGUUACUCUAGACCCUUGAUUACCAACUGAAGAUCUACGGUGAUGAGUCUUAAUAUAUAAGUGACCUGAGUGGUUGCAUUAUUCACUUCUCUCGACUCUUUGAUUUCUGCGAGAAGCUUCUAGGGUUUUCUCUUCUUCGUGACUUCUCUCAUUCUCUUUUGUGUACUUUGUGUAGUCCUAAAAUUUUCUGAUGUUUGGGGGAAAAAUCUGUGUAUCGAAUCUGUGUGAUUCUUCGAUCUGAGUUUUGAGAGCCUGAAAUCAGUUGUUGGUCAUUUGCUUGGGUAUGUUGAAGUAGCUGCGUUUGUUUCUCUAUUCUGGUUUAGGGUUUGUGGAGAUUUUGGGUGUACAGAAGGGUACAAUGUUAUUUCUAAGCCCAAACGAUCGAUUUCUUAUGACAGUGAUGAGUUCAUGAUGUUUUGAUUCGAAGAAUUCUAUCCUCUGUAUUUUGGGUAUUUUUAAGUUUGAGUUGUAACAGUGGUAUUAGAGCCAUUUCUUGGGCGUGCGAGUUCUUGAUUUCUCGAUCUGUGGGUGGAAAAAUAAUUUUCACACACGGAUCUUGAAAGUUCUGUCCAGUGGUGAAACCCCUUAGAUUCGGGAGAUGACAAAUCUUGGUUUUCUGUUGAUGAUUUUUUUAGAGAUAUUUGUAAUCUCACAAUUGUUUGAAUCUUGUAGGAAUAAGGUGGAUUUUGGACCAUUUAGUGAUCUGUUCUGAAACAUUUGGGUAUAGUGUGGGUGAUACUCGAACUUGUGGUUAAAUUUCCUAACCCUAACCUUUACAUUUCAUAUACUAUACUGCUCUGUGUGGUUUUUUAUUCCGAAUAAGUUGAUUACUCUGUGAAAAUUACUUGAUAUUUUCAUUUCUUGUAUUAUUGUGACCUGCAUAUAUAAGUUUGAGUGAUCUUUGAUACUUUCUUGAAAAUUAGUGUACCUUUCUCCCUCCCUUGUGUUGUGUGUCUCUUGGAAUUGUGCCUUGACCUGCGGUCUUGAGCCGUAAGGAAUCCUGGUGAAUUCUAAACACACUGUUGUCUUGAACUAUUCCUUGUAACCUGCAUGGUUAUAUUUUGCAACUUAUUCACUGUGAUUAUAUGCACUUUUGAAUUGUCUGAUAUUUCAAAUUUUGUGUAAUUCUGUGUUGUUCACCAUAUUUUGGAAUACCUACAUUUUCUGUUGAACAUUGAUUUCCCAAAAAUUUUCUUGUGUUGAUUAAAAACUUCAAAUGAUGACUACUACGUUUGAACUUGAAGUUUUUAAUGGAAAAUGAGAUUUCUCCAUUUGGCAGCAAAAAAUGAUAGGAAUCCUUGUUCAACAAAAAGUUUCAAAGGCUAUAACUGCUGAAUAUCCUAAUACUAUGACUGAUGUACAAAUAACUGAAACUGAUGAUCUUGCCUAUACCUCAAUUAUUCUGCAUUUAUUUGAUCAAGUUUUAAGGAAAGUAGGGAAACUUGAUGAUACUAAAGCUCUUUGGGAGAAACUAGAAGAAUUAUAUUUAGUGAAGUCUAUACCAAAUAAAAUAUAUCUUCUAGAAAGAUUCUUUAGUUUUAAGUUAGACCCUACCAAAGAUUUAGAUGAAAAUCUUGAUACCUUUAAUAAAUUGGUACAAGAUAUUAUCAAUACUGGUGAAAAGGUGUUUGAAGAGUACAAGGUUGUUAUACUCCUCAAUGUUAUACCUGAGGGAUGUACCACGAUAAGCGAGGUAAAAAGAGUUUGCACGUGCACUGAUACACACAAAAAGUCCAAUUCCAUAUGUCAGGAAUCGAACCCUCACACUGUGACUGCCAAUAAGGUUGAGAUUACCUCACUCUCGUCCUUUACACCACUGGGAUAUUCCCAAGGGGCAAAUUUGGAUUAUAGUUGCUCGACUCUUGCAUUGUUCUUGCAAGAUAAUACACACGCGAAUCAAGUAAUCAACUGUUCAAAUUCUAACAGGUGGAUAGAAUGCUAGCACUUAAACUUUGCACAUUUCAUAUUUAUUUGAAUAAAUCAUAUUAUUAGACCCGACUUUAACUGCAGCCUCAAAAAUCCUCCAUUUGCUACGUUGACCCAUUGAACUAUUCUCUCACUGGAAUACACGUGCUUGUAUUGGGUUUGAUCUGGUUUGGACAUCACCUCACAUUCAACCUAGCCCACAAAUACAUAAGCGCCUAUUUGUCCUUUGAUGUAGAUUUUAUGAAAAUUGUUUUUUUUUUUUUAAAUUAACAUGUGAAAAGUUAUUUUAUUGAAAGAAUAUGAAAUUGAAAAUGAAUUUUAUUCUACCAAACAGGGAGUAAAUGAUAUAAAAGAAAAAACAUGGGAAAAUUUCAUAAUCCGUAGAUUAACUAUGCUAUAUUGCAAUUUUAAUUUCAAAACUAAGAGAGAGAGGAUUUUGUUGCAAUUAAAUCUCUAAAAUCAAGCAUCCAUUUUCCAUACUUGAACAAACUUCUUAAAAUACAUAUUUACAUCCCUAACCCACACAAUUAUUCACGCAAAAACAGAAGACAAUUAUUAUGACGGUUGAGGAAAAAAUUGCAGAUUUAAUGAUUGAAUUAGUAUCCAAUUUAUUCAAUUUUGUCAUAUAUUAAAGUCACAUAUCUAUACAUUUGGUCAAAGAUUCAUAAUUUAAUUAAUCAUAUAUUUUUUUCCAAUCACAUAUCAUAAUUUUUAAAUAUCACAAGUUAUUUUACAAUCACAAUUCAAAACAUUUAUAGGUCACAAUUUGUUCAUCGAUCACAGAUCGAAAAUUAAUACGUCACAAUUUAUGUAUCGAUCACAGAUUGAAAAUAUUAUAGAUCACAACUCAUUAGAUGGUCACAAAUUAAUAUUUUUUUAGAUCCCAUUGGUCACAAUUUAUUUUUUUCAACGGUCUUUAUUGGUCACACAUUAGCCAAUUUAAUGGUUACAACCAACCAAAUAUCCAAAUAAUCUGUGACCACACAAACACUUGUGACAACCUCUGCUUUCAACAGUAUCGCCGCCAGAAUCACCACCGUCACCCUACAGCAACAACGUCGCGGGACAAAACCGCCAUAGCAAGCACAACACCACCGACCAUCCCUCACUAUUGCAACCCCCAUAUAGCGUCACCCAUGCCAUCCCACAUACAAACCACCAUCCACAACCACCAUCGUCCUCCUCCAGCCCAAUGCUAGAACCAAAUCCUGAACUCAUCCAACAUCACCAACAACUCAACAUCACAGCCAUCACCAUCGCUGGAACACUACAACUGUCAAAGGAAAGCACAAUCUCACCACUUUCUCGGUUAGCACCGUCACAGUCGCCAACCAGCAACGAUCACCGGAGGCUAGAGUAGGAAUCCCCUUUUUUGAGCAGCCACAAAGAGUGAGAGGGAGAAGACGGGUGGGGAGAACGAGUGGAAAGAAAAUAUGAGUGGGAGGAGAGAAGAAAGGUUGGGGGGAGAGAGAGAGAGAGAAAUUAAGAUAGAGUAAAUACGAGUGUGAAAGAGAGAGAAUAGGGUGGGAGGAGAGAGAAGGGAUUGGAGAGAGAAAGAGAUUGGAGAGAUAAUAAAUAAUAUUUAAAC
rnacentral:lncRNA from 1 species